rnacentral:tRNA from 1 species
GCCAUGGCUCAGUGUUAGGGAAUUUACUUUGCAUGCAGAAGGCCGCAGGUUCGAUCCCUGGCACCUGCAGUG